UGUAGCAAAACUGAACUUAAUCAAAACCUGGGCGAGUGCGAGGAUUUCUUUGACAAUACUGCAAGCUUUUUCUAGAAACAAGAAAGAGCAGUCGACAUCUGGCGAAAUGGCGCAAUGCAGUUAACGAGAUGUUAGUGAAUGGAAGGAUGUAGAAAGUGAAGAACUGAGCAUUUCAAGUCUGUAAAUGAUAACUCCACCAAUCACUGCAUGCAGAUAAGACCUUCCAGGUGUAAAUAACUGUACAAUAGUCUGAAACGAUCGAAAAAUAUCUCGGUCUCUUGCAAAAGGAUCACACCCAAACCUCAUGCCUAGUAAUGCUGCACAGCAGAUAACAGUGCUUAGCAUACAGCUCGUUCAAUCAGCUCGUAGCUAAUUGAACGAAGCAUGGGUCAACGAAGAGAAGAAGCAUGGUUCACACAAAGGAACGAGGGAAAAAAAAGGUGUCAGUUUCUUUGCAGGCUGCACGAUUAGAUGAGUCUCGGCCACCGUGGUGUGCUUUCGCCCGAGAAGAAUUUCGGAAGCUGUGAACAUCAUGGAAACCGUGAAAGCGAAGCCACAGGAUAACCAAGAAUCGAUGAAGGUUGGAAAGCAGUACAUCGCAACAGAUACUGAAAAACCGGAGGCGGCAGGUUGGGCGGGCUGGAGGGCCGUGUCAUGGACGUCUUGAGCCGGACCGGCCCAGGCGACGCGCUGGUCGAUUUUUUCGCCGAUGACGCCGAG